CAUCGCUGUGCUCCUGUGAACAUUUCCUGCUAUGCCAAGUUUGCAGAGGCCCUGAUCACCUUUGUCAGUGACAGUAGUGUCUUGCACAGGCUGAUUAGUGGAGUAAUGACCUGCAGAGAGAUUAUAUUGGGACUUUGCUUGUUAUCACUAGUGCUUUCCAUGAUUAUGAUGGUGAUAAUAAGAUACAUUUCAAGAGUACUUGUUUGGAUUUUAACAAUUCUUGUUGUUCUGGGAUCACUUGGUGGUACAGGAGUAUUGUGGUGGUUGUACGCCAAGCAGCGGAAGUCUCCUAGCGAUACUCUUACAGUUGAUCAGCUUCAAAUAGCCAAAGACAAUCGUCAGGCC